UCGUGGGGCAGCAUGAAUGUAGCAAUACAUUUGAUGGCGACCGGCAAACGGGUGCGGAACACGUACACAACCUCCCGAGAAGUGGGGAAUAGCCCAGAGAAAUUUGGAUUAAUACCCCGUAACAUAACGAUGUGGCAUCACAUUGUUAUUAUAGUUUCGACGCUUCUUGAUGGGUGUGCGGCUGAUUAGAUAGUUGGCGGGGUAACGGCCCACCAAGUCUACGAUCAGUAGCUGAUGUGAGAGCAUGAUCAGCCACACGGGCACUGAGACACGGGCCCGACUCCUACGGGAGGCAGCAGUAAGGAAUAUUGGUCAAUGGACGCAAGUCUGAACCAGCCAUGCCGCGUGAAGGAUUAAGGUCCUCUGGAUUGUAAACUUCUUUUAUCUGGGACGAAAAAAGGCGAUUCUUCGUCACUUGACGGUACCAGAUGAAUAAGCACCGGCUAACUCCGUGCCAGCAGCCGCGGUAAU
rnacentral:rRNA from 1 species